rnacentral:lncRNA from 1 species
CUAUCAUCACAUCAUUGAAAUUCUUUUCAAUAGAUUGAAAAAAUUCUACUCUAACUCGACAAAGAUUGUCCAUCCAGAAUAAUCCUAGUGAGCUCUCACAAUCUACCAAUAAUACCUAGCAGUAUGUAGUAGCAACUUAGUAGAACUGAAAUGAACCUCUAGGUAUAAUUAAUAUGUGAUUCAGGUGAUUCAGUCCCUCUAUCAUGAGUCUCGACUUGAUGGUGGAUCAUGGAUAAAUCAUCAAAUCUCAUCAUCAAUCAUAUGAUAGAUUUAAUUAGCUCAAGUCCAGUUGCGACUUUCAUAAAAAUUUCUUUCCAUCAAUUACACUGCUGUGGUCACAGACUCUUGGACUUAGCCUCUCAAAUCUCAUAGGACUAUUUCUUUCUAUCAAGAUCAAUAGAUCCUAUCUUGAUGUGCAUCCCACUCCUACAGUGGACCAACUGUCGCUAAUAUCCACUAUAGAAGCUCAUUGAGACCCAUGUUUAUAUGUCAAUCAAACUCUAGCAGCCUCACUGCGAGUAGCAGUACCAUCUCAAGUCAAAGGACUAGUCACACAACUAUAGCAUCAAGACAAUCACGGACGAUCGAAUAGAAAUCCAAGUGAUGUCUCAUAUGGUCACGUUCAAUACAAGUUAUUCUCUAACAGCUACCCGCACUCAUCACCCUGUGUCUCUACACAGUAGAUCAGAGACUCAUCUACCUCGAAGGAAAUGAUUUAUGCACCAGUCUAUCCAGAUCUAUCACUAUCCUCAUGAUGAUCCUAUAAUCGAGAAGAUUUAGAAAUUAAAUAUAUGUCUCUAAUUCUUAACACCUUGAGAAUAUGUAUCGAAACUAAUUUCAUAGAUGAUUC